CAGCCGCCACGGGAAUACGAAGGGGGCUAGCGUUGUUCGGAAUCACUGGGCGUAAAGCGCACGUAAGCGGAUACUUAAGUCAGGGGUGAAAUCCCGGGGCUCAACCUCGGAACUGCCUUUGAUACUGGGUAUCUUGAGUCCGGGAGAGGUUGGUGGAACUCCGAGUGUAGAGGUGAAAUUCGUAGACAUUCGGAAGAACACCAGUGGCGAAGGCGGCCAACUGGCCCGGUACUGACGCUGAGGUGCGAAAGCGUGGGGAGCAAACAGGAUUAGAUACCCCAGUAGUCCCUGUCUCUUAUAA
rnacentral:rRNA from 1 species